rnacentral:rRNA from 1 species
GACGAACGCUGGCGGCGUGCUUAACACAUGCAAGUCGAACGGAAAGGCCCUGCUUUUGUGGGGUGCUCGAGUGGCGAAAGGGUGAGUAACACGUGAGUAACCUGCCCUUGACUUUGGGAUAACUUCAGGAAACUGGGGCUAAUACCGGAUAGGAGCUCCUGCUGCAUGGUGGGGGUUGGAAAGUUUCGGCGGUUGGGGAUGGACUCGCGGCUUAUCAGCUUGUUGGUGGGGUAGUGGCUUACCAAGGCUUUGACGGGUAGCCGGCCUGAGAGGGUGACCGGCCACAUUGGGACUGAGAUACGGCCCAGACUCCUCCGGGAGGCAGAAGUGGGGAAUAUUGCACAAUGGGCGGAAGCCUGAUGCAGCAACGCCGCGUGCGGGAUGACGGCCUUCGGUUUGUAAACCGCUUUCGCCUGUGACGAAGCGUGAGUGACGGUAAUGGGUAAAGAAGCACCGGCUAACUACGUG